UGCAACUUAGUUCAUUUAGAACAGUCAACUUGCACUUGACAAGAGAGUAACCUCAGUAGC
rnacentral:tRNA from 1 species